GAUCCCAAGGGGUUGGUGAUCCCCCAGGGGCUGGUGGCCCUUGGUGGUGCCAGGGGUUGGUGGCCCUUGGUGAUCCCCA